rnacentral:rRNA from 1 species
ACUAACCAGGAUUCCCCUAGUAACGGCGAGUGAACCGGGAUCAGCCCAGCACCGAAGCCUGUAGCUGUUUGGCUGCAAGGCAAUGUGGUGUUUAGAUUGGUUCUUGGCAUGUUUGCUCUGUCCUAAGUCCAUUAAUGAGUGCGGCUAGUUGACUGGCCCAAAGAGGGUGAAAGGCCCGUGAGGAUAGAGACCAAGUGUGACAGAUGUGCUUUGAGCUGAUUUUGGAGUCGGGUUGUUUGUGAAUGCAGCCCAAAGUGGGUGGUAGACUCCAUCCAAGGCUAAAUACUGGCACGAAUCCGAUAGCAAACAAGUACCGUGAGGGAAAGUUGAAAAGUACUUUGAAGAGAGAGUAAACAGUGCGUGAAACCGCUCAGAGGUAAACGGGUGGAGUUGAACUGGAAUUCUUGGCAAUUUAACUGAUGAGUGUGAUGUGUGUUUGGGCAUUGUAGCCAUUGGACAGAGUUUGCUUAAGCGUAAGCCUAGGCCCUUUCGGUCUGGGUGCGAUUGGCACUGGUCAUGUGCUGUGCGCUCUGUUUAAAUUGGGUUUGCUUGUCAGUGCAUUUUGUCAGGAUGAUCACCACGACCGGCGUGAAUGCCUAUUUGUUGUAGUUAAACCGGUCGGGUAUAGUUGAAAUAACUGUGCUCGGUCGGGAUGGCAGGUAGCUUGCUUGCUUUUAGGAAGUAAGUAGGCGUUAAUUAGCUGACUGCAGCAGAUUUGUGCAACAUGUCGGAGAUGACGGCUUGGUUGGGCACGUUGUUUGAACAAUGCAAUUGAGUUUGAUUGGCGUGUAUUUGUUUCGGCAAGUCCGUCAGUAGCUUGGUUGUGUUGGUUGAAUAAUGGUCUGGCUAGUAGUUUGGGCCUAUAGUCUGUGGUGUAGUGGUAGAUUGUCCACCCGACCCGUCUUGAAACACGGACCAAGGAGUUUAACUUGCGCGCGAGUCAUUGGGCGUUACGAAACCCACAGGCGUAAUGAAAGUAAAGGUCCGAUUAAUUCGGACUUAGGUGAGAUCCCGUUGUGUCUAAAUACUAUCAAACGUUAGUGCAGCGGGCGCAUCACCAGCCCGUCCCAUGGUGUGUUUGUAGAGUUUCGGCUUUAUGUAUUAUCGGGGCGGAGCCAGAGCGCGCAGGUUGAGACCCGAAAGAUGGUGAACUAUGCUUGUGUAGGUUGAAGCCAGAGGAAACUCUGGUGGAGGACCGUAGCGAUUCUGACGUGCAAAUCGAUCGUAAAAUGUGAGUAUAGGGGCGAAAGACUA